CAGUCGCCACGGUAACACGUAGGUGGCAAGCGUUGUCCGGAAUUAUUGGGCGUAAAGGGCUCGCAGGCGGUUUCUUAAGUCUGAUGUGAAAGCCCCCGGCUCAACCGGGGAGGGUCAUUGGAAACUGGGAAACUUGAGUGCAGAAGAGGAGAGUGGGAUUCCACGUGUAGCGGUGAAAUGCGUAGAGAUGUGGAGGAACACCAGUGGCGAAGGCGACUCUCUGGUCUGUAACUGACGCUGAGGAGCGAAAGCGUGGGGAGCGAACAGGAUUAGAUACCCCUGUAGUCCCUGUCUCUUAUAC
rnacentral:rRNA from 1 species